GACGAACGCUGGCGGCGUGCUUAACACAUGCAAGUCGAACGGAAAGGCCCCUUUGGGGGUACUCGAGUGGCGAACGGGUGAGUAACACGUGAGUAACCUGCCCUUGACUUCGGGAUAACUUCAGGAAACUGGGGCUAAUACCGGAUAGGAAUCCUUGCUGCAUGGUGGGGGUUGGAAAGCUUCGGCGGUUUUGGAUGGACUCGCGGCUUAUCAGCUUGUUGGUGGGGUAGUGGCAUACCAAGGCUUUGACGGGUAGCCGGCCUGAGAGGGCGACCGGCCACAUUGGGACUGAGAUACGGCCCAGACUCCUACGGGAGGCAGCAGUGGGGAAUAUUGCACAAUGGGCGGAAGCCUGAUGCAGCAACGCCGCGUGCGGGAUGACGGCCUUCGGGUUGUAAACCGCUUUCAGCAGGGGCGAAGCUUGUGGUGACGGUACCUGCAGAAGAAGCACCGGCUAACUACGUG
rnacentral:rRNA from 1 species